rnacentral:rRNA from 1 species
UACGUAGGGGGCAAGCGUUGUCCGGAAUCACUGGGCGUAAAGCGCGCGCAGGCGGUCAUUCACGUCCGGGGUGAAAACCCAGAGCUCAACUCUGGGACUGCCUUGGAUACGGGGUGACUUGAGGAUCGGAGAGGCAAGGGGAAUUCCACGUGUAGCGGUGAAAUGCGUAGAGAUGUGGAGGAACACCUGUGGCGAAGGCGCCUUGCUGGCCGAUUUCUGACGCUGAGGCGCGAAAGCGUGGGGAGCAAACAGG